AUUGAACGCUGGCGGCAUGCCUUACACAUGCAAGUCGAACGGCAGCACGGGAGCAAUCCUGGUGGCGAGUGGCGAACGGGUGAGUAAAGUAUCGGAACGUGCCCAGUCGUGGGGGAUAACGUAGCGAAAGUUACGCUAAUACCGCAUACGAUCUAUGGAUGAAAGCGGGGGAUCGCAAGACCUCGCGCGAUUGGAGCGGCCGAUAUCAGAUGAGGUAGUUGGUGGGGUAAAGGCUCACCAGGCCGACGAUCUGUAGCUGGUCUGAGAGGACGACCAGCCACACUGGGACUGAGACACGGCCCAGACUCCUACGGGAGGCAGCAGUGGGGAAUUUUGGACAAUGGGCGAAAGCCUGAUCCAGCCAUGCCGCGUGCAGGAUGAAGGCCUUCGGGUUGUAAACUGCUUUUGUACGGAACGAAAAGGUUUGGGCUAAUAAGCUGAGCUCUUGGCGGUACCGUAAGAAUAAGCACCGGCUAACUACGUGCCAGCCGCCGCCGUAA
rnacentral:rRNA from 1 species